rnacentral:rRNA from 1 species
AGUGAACGCUGGCGGUAGGCCUAACACAUGCAAGUCGAACGGCAGCACAGUAAGAGCUUGCUCUUACGGGUGGCGAGUGGCGGACGGGUGAGGAAUACAUCGGAAUCUACUUUUUCGUGGGGGAUAACGUAGGGAAACUUACGCUAAUACCGCAUACGACCUACGGGUGAAAGCAGGGGAUCUUCGGACCUUGCGCGAUUGAAUGAGCCGAUGUCGGAUUAGCUAGUUGGCGGGGUAAAGGCCCACCAAGGCGACGAUCCGUAGCUGGUCUGAGAGGAUGAUCAGCCACACUGGAACUGAGACACGGUCCAGACUCCUACGGGAGGCAGCAGUGGGGAAUAUUGGACAAUGGGCGCAAGCCUGAUCCAGCCAUGCCGCGUGGGUGAAGAAGGCCUUCGGGUUGUAAAGCCCUUUUGUUGGGAAAGAAAAGCAGCAGGUUAAUACCCCGCUGUUCUGACAGUACCCAAAGAAUAAGCACCGGCUAACUUCGUG